UGCAUAUCAAAAAGCGGAGGAAAAGAAACCCACAGGGAUUGCCCUAGUAACGGCGAGUGAAGCGGCAACAGCUCAAAUUUGAAAUCUGGCCCUCGGGUCCGAGUUGUAAUUUGUAGAGGAUGCUUUUGGUGCGGUACCUUCCGAGUUCCCUGGAACGGGACGCCAUAGAGGGUGAGAGCCCCGUCUGGUUGGAUACCAAUCCUCUGUAAAGCUCCUUCGACGAGUCGAGUAGUUUGGGAAUGCUGCUCUAAAUGGGAGGUAUAUGUCUUCUAAAGCUAAAUACCGGCCAGAGACCGAUAGCGCACAAGUAGAGUGAUCGAAAGAUGAAAAGCACUUUGAAAAGAGGGUUAAACAGUACGUGAAAUUGUUGAAAGGGAAGCGCUUGUGACCAGACUUGGGCCCGGUUAAUCAUCCAGUGUUCUCACUGGUGCACUUGGCCGGCUCAGGCCAGCAUCAGUUCGGCGCGGGGGAUAAAGGCUUCGGGAAUGUGGCUCCUCCGGGAGUGUUAUAGCCCGUUGUGUAAUACCCUGCGCUGGACUGAGGUUCGCGCAUCUGCAAGGAUGCUGGCGUAAUGGUCAUCAGCGACGCGUCUUGAAACCACGGACCA
rnacentral:rRNA from 1 species